CUUUGAGGAUACACUUGGAGGAAUGAUUGCUUGGCCUUGUCAUCUGUUGGCAAUAAGCGAAGAUUUCUAUUAGUGCAUAUAGAAUGAUACUUUAUAUGUUUCUCAUUUGGUGACAUGUACUUGGAUUUUGCAUAUGAUGGUUGAAGAUGGUUGAUAGUAAAUUAGUUGAGUUUUUAUUUUACAAGGCUUAGUUUUAAAACUCAAUGAUUUGUUAGUAUUUAGUUAGCAUUGGAUUCAAUACUUUUAUAUCAGUAUUGCAUUUGUACUUUUGUGACGAUGGGAUGAAUUGUGAUGAUAUGG